rnacentral:tRNA from 1 species
GGGGUCGUAGUCUAGCUUGGUAUGAUACUGCGUUCGGAACGCAGUGAUCGAGUGUUCAAAUCACUCCGUCCCCA